UUUUUUGUAUUUUUAGUACAGAUGGAGUUUCACUGUGUUAGCCAGGAUGGUCUCGAUCUCCUGACCUCGUGAUCUGCCUGCCUUGGCCUCCCAAAGUGCUGGGAUUACAGGCAUGAGCCACUGGGCCUGCCUAAGUAUAUCUUAUCUAGACACAGAUCUCACUCCUUUCACAAAAACUAACUCAAAAUGGAUCAUAGACCUAAAUGUAACAUGCAACACUACAGAAUUCCUAGAAGAUAACAUAGGAGAAAACUCAGGUGACCUUGGAUUUGGUGAUGACUUUUUAGAUAUAACAUCAAAAACAUGACUCAUAAAAGAAAAAAUUGGUAAGUUGGACUUUACUAAAAUUAAAUUUUUCUGCUCACAAAGGACACUGUUAAGAGAAUGAAAAGGUAAGCCAUUAAAUGGGAAAAAAAUCUUUGCAAAAAAAUAGUUCUUUAUAUAUGAUAUAUAAUAAUAUAUAUCAUAUAUAAUAUUAUAUAUAUAUAUAUAUAUAUUCUGAAAAAGGCAAAACCAUAGAAACAGUAAGAAGUUCAGUGGUUGCCAGGAGUUAGGAGUUGGGGGUGGGGAGGGUGGAUAAAUGGUGGAGAACAGCUGAUUUUUAGGGUAGUGAAACUAUUCUGUUUGAUUCUGUAAUGAUGAAUACAUGUCAUUAUACAUUUGUCAAAACCCAUAGACUAUACAACACCAAGAAUGAACUCUGAUGUAAUCCACAAAGGACUAUUGUUAAUAAAGUUUUAAUAA
rnacentral:lncRNA from 10 species